UACGUAGGGCGCAAGCGUUAUCCGGAAUUAUUGGGCGUAAAGAGCUCGUAGGCGGUUUGUCGCGUCUGCUGUGAAAGACCGGGGCUCAACUCCGGUUCUGCAGUGGGUACGGGCAGACUAGAGUGAUGUAGGGGAGACUGGAAUUCCUGGUGUAGCGGUGAAAUGCGCAGAUAUCAGGAGGAACACCGAUGGCGAAGGCGGGUCUCUGGGCAGUAACUGACGCUGAGGAGCGAAAGCGUGGGGAGCGAACAGG
rnacentral:rRNA from 1 species